rnacentral:ncRNA from 1 species
UUAAAUGCCUUGAUGGGGAGGAGUACCCACGCGCGCGGAUUCCAGAGAGGACGGCAUCUGGUGCGAGCCGUUUUCCGGCAGCGGUGGCGAAGACACCUCUGAGCAGCCCUGUGAUCUAAAGCAGGGCCGUACCCCCGCGUUAAGGGGAGUAGAGAGGUGCGGUUAUUUUUGCCGCAUGAACUGGGUGGCACCACGUGGAGUUUGCUCCUCGUCCCUUGA